rnacentral:rRNA from 1 species
CACGUAGGGGGCAAGCGUUGUCCGGAUUUAUUGGGCGUAAAGAGCUCGUAGGCGGUUUCGUAAGUCGGAUGUGAAAACUCCAGGCUCAACUUGGAGACGCCAUUCGAUACUGCGAUGACUUGAGUCCGGUAGGGGAGUGUGGAAUUCCUGGUGUAGCGGUGAAAUGCGCAGAUAUCAGGAGGAACACCGGUGGCGAAGGCGGAUCUCUGGGCCAUAACUGACGCUGAGGAGCGAAAGCAUGGGGAGCGAACAGG